rnacentral:rRNA from 1 species
AUUGAACGCUGGCGGCAGGCCUAACACAUGCAAGUCGAACGAGUGGCGGACGGGUGAGUAAUGUCUGGGAAACUGCCUGAUGGAGGGGGAUAACUACGGGAAACGGUAGCGAAUACCGCAUACCAUCGGAUGUGCCCAGAUGGGAGUAGCUAGUAGGGGGGGUAACGGCUAACCUAGGCGACGAGCCCUAGCUGUUCUGAGAGGAUGACCAGCCCCACUGGCACUGAGACACGGUCCAGACUCCUACGGGAGGCAGCAGUGGGGAAUAUUGCACAAUGGGCGAAAGCCUGAUGCAGCCAUGCCGCGUGUAUGAAGAAGGCCUUCGGGUUGUAAAGUACUUUCAGCGAGGAGGCGUUACCCGCAGAAGAAGCACCGGCUAACUCCGUGCCAGCAGCCGCGGUAAUUC